UACAGUCUCAAUAUUACUGAUUUUAUUUCUUUCUCAUAAUCCCUUAUUUUCUUGGUCGGUGAAGUUCAUUAUGGAUGUUGUCAAUCAUGAGCACUUGUCGUCGCCAUUGCCAUAGUGAAAAGAAGAAGAGGAGAAAGAAUGGAAGAAGAAGAAGAAGAUAUUUAAGGUUAAAUUAUGAAAAGAGAGUUUAAACACAGAGUGACCUUUUUACUCUUGGCAAUGCAUGGCUUGUACAUAGGGAGGUAAAAAGCUCACAGGAUUCCGGUGCCUCCUCCGCCACCCGACGUGAACACUUGGCCGGCGAUCCACGGACGGAAGGGUACGCAACUGGAAAUGGAAGGAAAAUGAAACAACAAAUCAUUCUUCAGAUAAUAAACAGACAAUGAUUAGUUCAUGCUGAAAGAAAGAUCAAAAGCUACGUUUGUUGGGAAGGUGGUCGGCGAGGAGAUCAUGGCGAACAAUGUUCGAUCGUAUGUCACCUCGCUGGUGAUCGGUGGCGUUGGCUCCGCGUGAAAGCUCUCACUGUUUCUCUAUCCCAAAACAAUGUCACCGGUAGGUACAGUAAAAUAGGCAUUUGUCCGUCGCAUCGAAAACAAUGUCAUCGACAGGUCUUUUUAAAAGGAUGUUUAUACUUCGUGUUGCGUCAAUCCACGAGACGACUGAUCUGAUCCGAUCAGAAUAAUGUUGAUCACGAAUACCAUGCGUCCGACACCUCAGUAAUAUAUUUGAAUAUGGAUAGCACGCGUUUGGCACCUCAAUAAAAUACCUACAACAAAUAUUAUAACGGAGGAAAAAGCACUCAAAAUAUAAUGCAAAUUAACUUAUCAACGUUUGUAAGGUUUUAAAAAUAUAUAUAUAUAUAUAUAUAUAUAUAUAUAUAUAUAUAUAUAUAUAUAGUUCGAAAAGAAAAUCAUGUAAAAAAAAAACUUACUUUUUAUACUACUUGGAGUGUAAUUUAAAUAAGCUUAUAAUUUUUUUGCUACAUAUAUAUAUAAAAACAUCGUAAGCUUAUACAAAAAAUACCAUAUACGAGAAAUAUAAAGUAACUUAUUAAUCUUGAUCGAAUUUCAAAAAAACAUUCUUGUUAGUUUGAGAACACAAACACAUAGAAAACUUGACUUUUAUAUCGAUUAGGCUUCUUUUCCAUUGGAUACUUUCAAACUUGGGUUCAAAUUAACUAAAACAGUCGAGACGGACUUAGGAAGGAGACCUCUGCUUCCUCGGUUGCGAACACAAUCCAAUCCACGUCUGAUAAAUAGAAUCUUAGUAUUUAUAUUUAGAUCUGUAUUCCGAUUCCAAUUCUAUGAGCAUCGGAUGCAGACUGUCAUGGACGAGAGUCGAGGAUCUGCUUGCUGCUCCCAUGAUCACAGCUCCCUUGUUCCUCGCAUCCUGCAGAUAGUCCAAAGCUUCCCUGGUUACGACCUCUCCGGGGUUCAGCACCGGAACACGUGGUGGGAACGUGCAGAUGAGCUCGCCACAUAUCUCCCCGAGGCUUUCUCCAUUGUCCACGGUUCCUCUUCUUCGCGAAGAUGGCCUCCCUUGGACUGAGCUCCAGACUAAACCCAGCAAACGGUUUGUGUAAUCACACCACUCCCAACUUGGUUCUGUGAUCGGUUCUCAUCGAGGAACGUCGUCGAGAGAUGUGACAGAGCUGUGAUCAUCCUUUCUAUGUGUUCCAUGGGCGUCCCCCGAUUGAAGACCAAGGUCACAGACCGCAUCCCUGCAAGUUCAGGAAUUACUCCAUGCUCCUCAUAUAGCAGCUCGUUCACCCUGAAGCCUGUCAGUUCUAGCCGUGAGACGCCGACUGUGACACGCAGAGGAUCCAUGUUGGGGAAAUCAGAGGAAAAGCUCGAUGCAUCCAAGAUCGAAAGACCUACAAUGUUGCAAAUAUGGAUCAAGCCACCCGAGUCAUGGAACCAUAAAAUGGACCAAUCAUCUUUUCUUUACUGCAGCACACGGAGACUGAAUCUUUUCUUUCUCGUGAGUGUGAAGUGAGCCCCUUUCUUUCUCUUCGUGUCGUUUAGAAGUUUCAGGUUUUAUUUCUGUACUUUUUCUUGCAUCAUUUCUACUCCCAUGAAAGGAAGAAUCUGUAGCUUUUCUCUCCUACAACUAUUUCUAUCACUAUAUUAUCUACUUAAGAUUAUAAUGUCACUCUGAGAAGAACUUAGAGUGACAAACACAGAGUGACCUGUUUGCUCUUGGCAAUGCAUGGCUUGUCCAUAGGAAGGUAAAAAGCUCACGGGAUUCCGGUGCCUCCUCCGCCACCCGACGUGAACACUUGGCCGGCGAUCCACAGAUGGAAGAGUAC
rnacentral:lncRNA from 1 species